UUUUCUUGAUCUGUUUUUCCUCACAAUCUUUCACUGCCUCCCUCUCUCUUUCUGUGUGUCUCGUAUAUGUAUUAUGGAGAAACGAUGGUGCAUGCUUUUGAUAUGUUUUUCUAGGUCUGUGGGUGUAUGUAUAGUAUCGUGAUAUCCAAGAAGAAGAAGAAUCCCCCUGUGCGUGAGAAUGCGAUAUGUAUAUAUGGUGAGUGAAAUGUUAUUGUGGAGAAGAGAAAACCAAUGGUCCAUCCCGUGG
rnacentral:lncRNA from 1 species